rnacentral:pre_miRNA from 1 species
CACAGAUGCAACUAGCCACUGGUGAUGUUGAGGCUGGAGCGAAACUCGGUGAAGGUCGAGGACGGGAGACCCUUGGUGAAGAUGUUGGCCCAAGUUUGGUUUUGGUAAUUAAUGACACCAAGUUGCUAAUGCUUUGUG